UACGUAGGGUGCGAGCGUUGUCCGGAAUUAUUGGGCGUAAAGGGCUCGUAGGCGGUUUGUCGCGUCGGGAGUGAAAUCCACUGGCUUAACUGGUGGCUUGCUUUCGAUACGGGCAGACUGGAGGUAUGCAGGGGAGAACGGAAUUCCUGGUGGAGCGGUGAAAUGCGUAGAUAUCUGGAGGAACACCGGUGGCGAAGGCGGCAUCCUGGACCGGUAUUGACGCUGAGGCGCGAAAGCCAGGGGAGCAAACGGG
rnacentral:rRNA from 1 species